AAACCUAAAUCAAUAAUUGACAACAUCAGGUUAAUAAGACAGUACUUUGCAAAACCGAACUCAUAAUUUCAGAAACCAUGUCUUUCAAGUGUCAGUCUACAGAGCAUGCAUCUCUCCUAAGGUUAUUCAGUUCAAUAUGAGCAUCAUUAAUGGAAUAAAUAAAUAAAUAAUAAAUAUAGAAUAUGAUAGACAGCAUCCAUGAGCAUAAGAUACAUGCUGCAAGAUCCAAUACAUUACCAAAAUGACCAAAGCAUAAUGUCAAUCAUAGACAGGACCGAUUCAACCUAAGCUAUCAACACGCUGCAUCAUCCAGGCCAGUAGCAGAGAUUAUUACGAUGUGUGCAACAUAUGCACAUGAAAAAUUCCAGUGAGGCUAUGACACUAUGAAAUGCCAAUGCUGUGAAUGUGUCACGUAUAUCAACAGAACUUAAUACACCUAUAUUAAACCAACAUUUCUACGUUUGCCCCAUUUUUGCAAUGCCAAACACCACCAGCUGAAUCUAAAACCGCCGCUUUAUGAUGUUAUGUCAUGCUAGAGGCACGACCGAGUUAUGAUGAGCCGAAAACUUAAUAAUUAAAGCUCAGUUCAUUCAAAUUACAAGAGCUGAAGCUCAGCUUUAGUAAUAAUAAUAACAAUAACAAAGAUAGAACAAAGGCUUCAUUAAGUGCUACCAAUAAGUUCUAUCCUCAUCUUAUGGAUAUGGAGGCCAAGCCAAUAAGUUCUAAGACUUAAAAAAUAAAAAAUUGUAACUGAUUUGAAAUUUUUUUAUUACAUUAUCAUAGUUUGCUCAUUAACUGUAAUGAGUAAUAACACAGAACACUCCCCUAAAACUUAAGUAGGAGUCCAGUUACUUCAGUGAUAUAUGCAAUGCCUUAGACGCCUUAGACCCUCCUAGUUUUGUACUACAAAUGAUUUCUUUGUGCAUAUGGAGUUCGCAAUCCCUUUUGCUCUUGAAUGCUAUUAUUCUCUUUGCUGUUUUUCUUCUUCUUUCAUUUCUUUUCUUUUUCUCUUUCUUUAUUCUCUUUUAUUUUCUUUUCUUUUUUGGGGAGGUGGUGUUAGAAGUUAAAAAAUGCCUUAUUGCAUCACUACAGGCUCAGUUCAUUUGCAUCCAGAAUCAAACAUCAUUUCCAAAUCAAACAACAACUUUCAAAUAUUAUCAUCUUAUAUUUUCUCCAACUUCACAUUAAUCUUCCAAAGCUAUAGUGCUAAUAUUGAACUAAACCACUUACUAAUUAGUUCAAAAUAAAGCAUAUGACUGGUGAAAUAUGAACAGUUACAAACCUUUCCAGACUCCAAAACAAAUGCAGCAUGAUUGUGGGAGGCUGAGACUUGAACCACAUGAGCCAAA
rnacentral:misc_RNA from 1 species